rnacentral:lncRNA from 1 species
AACGGUCACAACAAACACAUAUUUGGUACCAUGGGGUCACCUCAAAAUAAAUCUGUACACGCGUCAGAUCAAUAUCACAAUUUACCAACUAUAUGUAACCAAUUCACCGAUCUAUGUUAUUUCUAAUUGUGAUCAAAUUUGCCUUUGAUGUGACUGUCUGUAAUCAUGGCAAUUUUAAUCGUGACCAAGUCUCAACUGGUCACAAUCAACAAAAAAUUAUUCACAAACAGUUACAACAAAUACAUACUUGAUCAUAAGGGAUCACCACAAACAAAUUUGCACACUCCUCAAACCAGUAUCACAAUCCACCACCAUUCAGCACCGCGACCAGCCCUAAUGCACCAAGAUUAACACCUUUAACUUAAAUCGGUGACCAUAAAUACUAAAUUCACCUCAAAUCCACAACAUCAAUCAUCACCACCGUAUUUUUCACCAACACCUUUAAAAAACACCAAUCAACACCACCGCAUUCUCAAAUGUAGAUCAACACAAACCGUACAUUUACAUUCCCGACAAAUUUGCACACCACAAUCACAGCCAUCAUCGGAGGAGAUUGAAACAACUCCGAUUGGAGCCAAAGCUUCACAUUUCGAUCCCAACUAGUUGCAGUGUUAGCACUACUUGCUCAAUCACUCCAAAUUCUCCCAUUUGAAUCCAAAAGUAACAAAAAAAUGCCCAAAUAAAUCUCCAUCAUCCCCACGCCAUUUAUUGAAGAAGAAACAGCUAAAGAAGCCUUCCGGAAUCAACGCUGAAAACCACAUACGACCGACGAAGACAUCAACACAUAAACACUCUACACACCGGUACAGAUCUAUACACCACCGCACAAACACCUCUACACGGUAAUGAAGUCGGCUGGAGCAUCGCUGCUGGAGGAGGUUGAACAACGAUGAAAAAUAGAGGAAGAUAGAGGAAUUGCUACACAACGGCGUCACGUCGGUCAGAGGGAUGGCGACAUCGUGUGUUGCCGACGGUGGAGACGGUAACACUGAUGGUGGUUUGUGAUAGAGAGAAGUGAGAGAGAAUACAGAGAGAGAAGGAAGAGGGGGG